rnacentral:rRNA from 1 species
GAUGAACGCUGGCGGCGUGCUUAACACAUGCAAGUCGAACGAUGAAAGCGGGAGCUUGCUCCUGCUGGAUUAGUGGCGAACGGGUGAGUAACACGUGAGCAAUCUGCCCCGAACUCUGGGAUAAGCGUUGGAAACGACGUCUAAUACCGGAUACGACGCGCGAAGGCAUCUUCUGCGCGUGGAAAGAACUUCGGUUCGGGUUGAGCUCGCGGCCUAUCAGCGAGUUGGUGAGGUAACGGCCCACCAAGGCGACGACGGGUAGCCGGCCUGGGAGGGUGACCGGUCACACUCGGACUGAGACACGGCCCAGACGCAUACGGGAGGCAGCAGUGGGGCAUAUUGCCAAAUGGGCGCAAGCCGGAUGCAGCAACGCCGCGUGAGGGACGACGGCCUUCGGGUUGUAAACCUCUUUUAGUAGGGAAGAAGCGAAAGUGACGGUACCUGCAGAAAAAGCACCGGCUAACUACGUGCCAGCCGCCGCGGUAACAC